AUGCUCGCUUCAGCAGCACAUAUACUAAAAUUGGAAAGAUACAGAGAUUAGCAUGGGCCCUGUACAAGGAUGACAUGCAAAUUCAUGAAGCAUUCCGUAUUUUU
ensembl:snRNA U6 U6 spliceosomal RNA